rnacentral:rRNA from 1 species
AACGUAGGACGCAAGCGUUAUCCGGAGUUACUGGACGUAAAGCGCGGGCAGGCGGCCAACCAAGUCUGAUGUGAAAUCUCUUCGCUCAACGGAGAGAGGCCAUUGGAAACUGGUCGGCUGGAGGGCAGUAGAGGUAGGCGGAAUUCCGGGUGGAGUGGUGAAAUGCGUAGAGAUCCGGAGGAACACCAGAGGCGAAGGCGGCCUACUGGGCUGCACCUGACGCUGAGCCGCGAAAGCCAGGGGAGCGAACGGG